rnacentral:lncRNA from 1 species
UAUAAUGAUAUGAAUGUGAACAUUCCAGUGAAUGACUCCUUCUGUGAAUUAACUAUCGAAAGGUAAGUUGUUGAAAUUCCAGGCACCAUGAUGAUUUCAUACAAUAUUGUUUUACUUAAGGUCAAAGAGUUGUCUAGGAAAAGCUUUAUCUAUGCCAUAUCAAUGACUGCCUGCUGCAUGAGUGCUCCGUUCCAGUGAUCAUUUCUGCAGACAGUGUGUAGUUUUGAUUAUAAUACUCAUCCUUCCUUCAAGGGAUGCCCAUCUGGGACACUAAAUUUAUUUGCUAUGUUGGGGAAAGUCUUUAGAAAUAUAUGUAGGUGUUCACAUGGCAGCAUCACCAUUCACUUUCUCCUACAGAAACAGUGAGUGAUGGAUGAGUUUCCUGGUAGAAUAACAGUGGCUCAGCCCCAGUCUCCUUUCUUGCCCAAGGUCCCAGACAUUCACCCAAAUUGGAACUCUCCAUUCGGGCAUUCCAACUGAUUGGACCACGACUUUCUCAGACACACACGGCAGAGCUACGACUGGGCUUGCAUUAGACACUUUGUCUUCACCCAGCAAUUGUCCUACAAGAAAAAGGCAGGGGAGAAAUUUCUAAGUAGGAAGUGAGAAAAUGCACUCUCUUUCUUGUCCAACUCAUUCACUACCUAAUUGUUCCAUACUGUCAUCCUGAAUGCAGUCUCUGUUGUAUAAAAUGAAGCUGGACCAAAGGACUUCUAAGGGCUCUUCCACCUCUAAAUUUCUUUUAUACUACAUAACAAAGCAAAUAUUUAUUGAGACCUGGUUGUGUGCACUCUGGACUGGUGUCAUCAAGGGAUGAAACUGCUGGCAUCAUGGAACCCCAGGACCAUUUUCACAAACACAUGUGAUCUAGUGGUUUUGAUGUUGAUCCUAACCCACCCUGAGGCCUCCUCAGAAACUGGGACUUAGUCCUCAAAACCAGAUCCUCUCUUGGAUUUCAGUUCUCCUAUGACAUCGAAUAUCUAUCAAGGAGAACUAAAUCCAUAUUAACAUGGAAUAAAAUGGGACUGUAUUCACUGAGUGUCAAGUCCUUCACAGGCAGUGAGACCAGGGGGCUCCAUGGCUGAGCUUUAGGUAAGUAGGAUGUUCUUCUGGGGACAUAUUUCUUUACAUAGAUUACAUAUAUGGUACAGAAAAAUGGAAGAAUCUCCACAUACGAAACAAUCUAGAGGAGGUGGAUGAGCUAUUAAUACGGUAAUUGAGAAGCAAGUUCUAAAACAGCCUAGUUACUUUCUGGAUCCAGCUUUCUCCUGAAAGCUUUAGUUUGAAGGUUUAAAAUGUCCAGCCAGAGAUGGUUCAAAAAUCUUCGAGAUCAUUUCAAAAUGAAAAUUGGAAAAAAAAAAAAGAAAAGAAAAGAAGAGAAAAUUGGGCAUCUUAUGUAAAAAAAAAAAAA